rnacentral:rRNA from 1 species
UACGGAGGGUGCAAGCGUUAUCCGGAUUUACUGGGUUUAAAGGGUGCGUAGGAGGGUAGGAAAGUCAGUGGUGAAAUCUUCGGGCUUAACCCGGAAACUGCCAUUGAUACUAUUUAUCUUGAAUACUUUGGAGGUAAGCGGAAUAUGUCAUGUAGCGGUGAAAUGCUUAGAUAUGACAUAGAACACCAAUUGCGAAGGCAGCUUACUACACAGUUAUUGACACUGAGGCACGAAAGCGUGGGGAUCAAACAGG